rnacentral:rRNA from 1 species
UUUCGGGCAUAGUGGCGCACGGGUGCGUAACGCGUGGGAAUCUGCCCCUUGGUUCGGAAUAACUCAGAGAAAUUUGAGCUAAUACCGGAUGACGACGUAAGUCCAAGGAUUUAUCGCCGAGGGAUGAGCCCGCGUAGGAUCAGCUAGUUGGUGGGGUAAAGGCCUACCAAGGCGACGAUCCUUAGCUGGUCUGAGAGGAUGAUCAGCCACACUGGGACUGAGACACGGCCCAGACUCCUACGGGAGGCAGCAGAGGGGAAUAUUGGACAAUGGGCGAAAGCCUGAUCCAGCAAUGCCGCGUGAGUGAUGAAGGCCUUAGGGUUGUAAAGCUCUUUUACCCGGGAUGAUAAUGACAGUACCGGGAGAAUAAGCUCCGGCUAACUCCGUGCCAGCAGCCGCGGUAAUACGGAGGGAGCUAGCGUUGUUCGGAAUUACUGGGCGUAAAGCGCACGUAGGCGGCUUUGUAAGUUAGAGGUGAAAGCCUGGAGCUCAACUCCAGAACUGCCUUUGAUACUGCAUGGCUUGAAUCCAAGAGAGGUGAGUGGAAUUCCGAGUGUAGAGGUGAAAUUCGUAGAUAUUCGGAAGAACACCAGUGGCGAAGGCGGCUCACUGGCUUGGUAUUGACGCUGAGGUGCGAAAGCGUGGGGAGCRAACAGGAUUAGAUACCCUGGUAGUCCACGCCGUAAACGAUGGUAACUAGCUGUCGGGGCACUUGGUGUUUCGGUGGCGCAGCU